rnacentral:rRNA from 1 species
CAAUCCGGACGGAUGGAAAUGUCCGGCCAAGCAGCAAGUUAGGAACAGAGUGAAAUACUUUGUUUCGGGUUAACAAGCUGUGAUGGGGAGUGAAAUUAAGUAACGAAGUUGCCAACGUCACACUGCCGAGAAAAGCUUCUAGCAAGUAAUCAACUGCCCGUACCGCAAACCGACACUGGUAGUCGAGGAGAGUAUCCUAAGGUGAGCGAGUGAACUCUCGUUAAGGAACUCGGCAAAAUGACCCCGUAACUUCGGGAGAAGGGGUGCUGACCGGAAGGUCAGCCGCAGUGAAGAGGCCCAGACGACUGUUUAUUAAAAACACAGGUUUCUGCAAAAUCGUAAGAUGAAGUAUAGGGGCUGACGCCUGCCCGGUGCUGGAAGGUUAAAAGGAAGAGUUAGCUUCGGCGAAGCUCUGAAUUGAAGCCCCAGUAAACGGCGGCCGUAACUAUAACGGUCCUAAGGUAGCGAAAUUCCUUGUCGGGUAAGUUCCGAC